UCUGUUGGUGAAUUAUACUGAAAGGUGACUGAGGCCACAAUUCUUAUCCGGGAACAAGUCCCAAUGAAAUCAAGAAGAAGAAAAAAACUUCAGGAUAUACAAGGUCGAUGCUUAAUUUAAACUGCUUGAAAAGAUUACAUGGGAGUCUUCCUGCAUCCUCUCUGGCUGUUUUUUCUUAGGAACCAGGACCACUCCAUGCAAAGCUUGUGAAGGAGACCAGGAAAAAAAAGCAGCCGUGUGUGAAAAGACUGACUGCUCAUUUCUGAUAAUGAAGACAAAUUCCAGCACUAAUCCAUGUUCAAAGGUAACAAUUAACAGAGCUUGGGAAGUUGUUGCUGUUGUUAUCUUUGCAUACGGUCAU